rnacentral:rRNA from 1 species
UGAGGAAUCUGCCCUUCUCUUCGGAAUAAGCGUUGGAAACGACGUCUAAUGCCGAAUACGACCUCCUUUCGCAUGAUCGGAGGUGGAAAGCUCCGGCGGAGAAGGAUGAGCUCGCGGCCUAUCAGCUAGUUGGUGUGGGUAAUGGCCCACCAAGGCGACGACGGGUAGCCGGCCUGAGAGGGUGACCCGGCCACACGUGGGACUGAGACACGGCCCAGACUCCGUACGGGAGCAGCAGG